rnacentral:lncRNA from 1 species
AUUUAACAGAUCUGGAAUGGGGCCCUUAACACGGACCAAGUUAUGCUGGUGUACAGUUUGGGAACCUCUGCUAAAAGACUGUGCCGUUCAAUGCAUGAGUGAGCAAAGUGUGUCCGGCCAACUGAUGCCAUACUCUUUCAGAGGCUUUUCCCCGAGGCCAGUCCCUGGCAGAAAUUAGGGCAUUCCAAACUGUAAUGCUAAGCAAGCCCUCACUGCAGAUUCCAAGGAGACUUGGCCUGGAGAAGAGCAGCCUUGGGCUUCCGCAGUCGAAGGAAAUGUGGAAAUUUCCUGUAUACAAGAAAUGUAAGCCCUUGCGGGUUCAAAUUUCACUUCUGUCACCAGGUAUGUUUGGAAGUUCAAGAUGGCUGCCUUUCAUUUGCUGAUAGAACGUGUGCUUCAUACAGGCUGGCAUAAUCUUUCCUUUCAGGGUUGCAGAAGCUACUGGCCAAGGCCUAGAGCAAGCUGUUCAGGAGAAAUACAAUGUGAACUACAUAUGUAAUUUAAAAAAUUUUAGGGGCGCCUGGGUGGCACAGCGGUUAAGCGUCUGCCUUUGGCUCAGGGCGUGAUCCCGGCGUUAUGGGAUCGAGCCCCACAUCAGGCUCCUCUGCUAUGAGCCUGCUUCUUCCUCUCCCACUCCCCCUGCUGUGUUCCCUCUCUCGCUGGCUGUCUCUAUCUCUGUCAAAUAAAUAAAUAAAAUCUUUAAAAAAAUUAUUUUAA